GACGAACGCUGGCGGCGUGCUUAACACAUGCAAGUCGAGCGGUAAGGCCCUUUCGGGGGUACACGAGCGGCGAACGGGUGAGUAACACGUGGGUGACCUGCCCUCAGCUCUGGGAUAAGCCUGGGAAACUGGGUCUAAUACUGGAUAUGACUCCACGGUGCAUGUCGUGGGGUGGAAAGCCUUGUGCGGCUGAGGAUGGGCCCGCGGCCUAUCAGCUUGUUGGUGGGGUGAGGCCUACCAAGGCGACGACGGGUAGCCGGCCUGAGAGGGCGACCGGCCGACACUGGGACUGAGACACGGCCCAGACUCCUACGGGAGGCAGCAGUGGGGAAUCUUGCGCAAUGGGCGAAAGCCUGACGCAGCGACGCCGCGUGAGGGAUGACGGCCUU
rnacentral:rRNA from 1 species